GAUGAACGCUGGCGGCGUGCCUAAUACAUGCAAGUCGAGCGAACAGACGAUGAGCUUGCUCCUCUGACGUUAGCGGCGGACGGGUGAGAAACACGUGGAUAACCUACCUAUAAGACUGGGAUAACUUCGGGAAACCGGAGCUAAUACCGGAUAAUAUAUUGAACCGCAUGGUUCAAUAGUGAAAGACGGUUUUGCUGUCACUUAUCGAUGGAUCCGCGCGGCAUUAGCUGGUUGUUAAGGUAACGGCUUACCAAGGCAACGAUGCGUAACCGACCGGAGAGGGGGAUCGGCCACACUGGAGCGGAGACAGGGUCCUGACUACUACGGGAGGCAGCAGUAGGGAAUCUUCGGCAAUGGUCGAAAGCUUGACGGAGCAACGCCAAGUGAGAUAUAGAGGUCUUGGGAUCGUAAAACUGUGUUUUUAGGGAAGAACAAAUGUGUAAGUAACUAUGCACGUCUUGACGGUACCGAAUAAAAAAGCCACGGCUAACUACGUG
rnacentral:rRNA from 1 species